GUGGGGAUAAACUAAUUGGAAAACGAUAGCUAAUACCGCAUAACAAUGUUGGAUGCAUAUUCGACAUUUGAAAGUACCAAUUGGUACACUGAGAGAUGGACCCGCGUUGUAUUAGCUAGUUGGUAGUGUAAUGGACUACCAAGGCGAUGAUACAUAGCCGACCUGAGAGGGUGAUCGGCCACAUUGGGACUGAGACACGGCCCCAAACUCCUACGGGAGGCAGCAGUAGGGAAUCUUCGGCAAUGGACGAAAGUCUGACCGAGCAACGCCGCGUGAGUGAAGAAGGUUUUCGGAUCGUAAAACUCUGUUGUUAGAGAAGAACGUUGCAUAGAGUGGAAAAUUAUGCAAGUGACGGUAUCUAACCAGAAAGGGACGGCUAACUACGUGCCAGCAGCCGCGGUAA
rnacentral:rRNA from 1 species